rnacentral:lncRNA from 10 species
CCUAAUCGUCACACGUGUAACCACUUUUUUCUUUUUUUCACAUUUGUAUGCUAAUCACGAGAAGCAAAAAUAGACUUAGAUUGGAAAUCAAAGAUUGGUUGUAUACAGGUAAUAGAGUGCUUGAACGCUUUAUUUAAAGAUAGAAGGCUCUUGAACCAGGCUUUAUUAUUGAACUAAGACUAUCUAUCCUUUUUGACACUUUUUAAAUUAAGUUCUUCCUCUAAUUUAUGUUUUUAUCAGGUUUCUUCCCUUACCUGGUUUUAAACUGGCUUUUUUUCCCUCUCUCUCUAAGUAAUAAACUACUCCAGAGCAGAGAAAAAAAUUUUAAUGACCUUCGAAAUUCAGAUUAACAAAAUGGAUCAUUUGUAUACAGCCACAGAAUUAUGAAGCCUUUUGAAAUAUCAGUACAGAAAUUUUGCCUGAUGCAAAAUUUCAUUUUCUCUCUCUCUGACAUAUCUCUGACUUCCCCCUUUUAAAAAUGGAGUGGUUUUAGUACCUCUUUAGUAAGGUCAAACACUGAAAAGUAAAGGGGUUUCGGGACAAUUUUGAGGCGCAAAUGAAAGAGCUUCUCUUUUUUUCCUUUUUUUUUUUUUUUUUUGAAUUAAGGGAGACAAGCUCCAACAAUGUGUUAGCAUAUCAGAUAGAAAAUAGUUUGUUGAAACUGGACUUGCAGCGCCAGUUCUGCCUGCCUCUUCCCUGCACGCUCAAUCUGCCUUCUUAUUAUUGUUAAGCCAGCCUGCCUCCCAGUAUGUUCUGCGUCCCAUCUGACUUCCGCAGAGUUCGAGGGAGCUUAGGACAAACAGAACAGGGGAGCAGCUGCAUGGGAUGAGUGGUGGCAGCCAGAUAAUCUACCACAAUGUCUUGCUGGAAAAAAAAAAUGGGACAACAUAAUUUCCCCAACUUAACACAACCCCUGCCUGGAAAAUGCAAGCCAAACUUAACAGGCAAGUUCGGCAGCUGCUUGGCGUCAUUUUGUUUUAACAUCAUGCAUAUAAAAAAAGAAAUAGUGCAAUGCUGGGGGGAAGGAGAAUUUUCAAUUGCUUAGAUUUGAUAAAGAAAAACUAGUGAUCAAAAAUUAUUUUUAAAAAUAACAAUGACUUCUUGGUAACAUAUUUUCCCCUACGGUUGUUUGAUUUCUGAACAGACACCUUUUAUUGACGUCUGGCUGAUUUCCACAAAUGGCAUGUUUCUGCUUUUCCCACAUUAGGGAAGCUGGUUCUUUGGCCCAAAGUGCUUUUACAGCCUACCUGUAUUUUACCGGCCCUCCUAGACGGGGGGAACUCCCCUGUCCUCUGCAGGAAUGUCAAAAGCCACCCAUCUUUAACCACCUAAUGCUCCCAUCAGCAGAGAGGCACACAGCACAGUGAACGUCGAGCAUGCACACCAGGAAGCCCAGGUUCGAGUUCUGACCGUCACUUACUGGUGGUAAUGAUGGUACUAGAUGUCAGAGUCAAGGGAGCUGAGGAAGGCAUCCAAGUAAGGAGGUGGCGUGGGCACUCCCUGACAAGGCUACACGAGUGCAGGCCAGAACACCAGUUAUUGGAUUUAAGAUCACUCUAAUCCAGCAUGACCUUAUCUUAACUGGAUUACAUCUGCAAAGACUUUAUUUCCAAAG